rnacentral:rRNA from 1 species
UACGUAGGGGGCGAGCGUUGUCCGGAUUUAUUGGGCGUAAAGAGCUCGUAGGCGGUUUGGCAAGUCGGGUGUGAAAACUCCGGGCUCAACUCGGAGACGCCACUCGAUACUGCCAUGACUCGAGUCCGGUAGGGGAGUGCGGAAUUCCUGGUGUAGCGGUGAAAUGCGCAGAUAUCGGGAGGAACACCAGUGGCGAAGGCGGCGGCCUGGACUGAUACUGACGCUGAGGUGCGAAAGCGUGGGGAGCAAACAGG